UCCCGGUUGGCCCGGGCAGUCUCGCAUGAAAAAUACAACAUACGAUAAGGGUUGCGCUCGUUGCGGGACUUAACCCAACAUCUCACGACACGAGCUGACGACGGCCAUGCAGCACCUGUCAUUAGGCUCCAAAAGGCACCUCUCCGUUUCCGGAAAGUUCCUAAGAUGUCAAGCCUCGGUAAGGUUCUACGCGUAGCGUCAUAUUAAACCACAUCCUCCUCUGCUUGUGCGGGUCCCCGUCAAUUCCUUUGAGUUUUAGCCUUGCGGCCGUACUUCCCAGGCGGCAUACUUAUCGCGUUAGCUUCGUCUCACAGGGGGUCGAUACCCCAUAAGACUAGUAUGCAUCGUUUACGGCGUGGACUAC
rnacentral:misc_RNA from 1 species